UACGUAGGGUGCGAGCGUUAAUCGGAAUUACUGGGCGUAAAGCGUGCGCAGGCGGUGAUGUAAGACCGAUGUGAAAUCCCCGGGCUUAACCUGGGAACUGCAUUGGUGACUGCAUUGCUGGAGUAUGGCAGGAGGGGGGUGGAAUUCCACGUGUAGCAGAUGAAAUGCGUAGAGAUGUGGAGGAAUACCGAUGGCGAAGGCAGCCCCCUGGGAUAACACUGACGCUCAUGCACGAAAGCGUGGGGAGCGAACAGG
rnacentral:rRNA from 1 species